AUUGGACAAUGGGNNNAAGCCUGAUCCAGCAAUACCGCGUGUGUGAAGAAGGCCUGCGGGUUGUAAAGCACUUUCAAUUGGGAAGAAAAGCCUGAGGAUAAUACCCUUGGGUCUUGACGUUACCUUUAGAAGAAGCACCGGCUAACUCCGUGCCAGCAGCCGCGGUAAUACGGAGGGUGCGAGCGUUAAUCGGAAUUACUGGGCGUAAAGCGCGCGUAGGCGGCUUGUUAAGUCAGAUGUGAAAGCCCUGGGCUCAACCUGGGAACUGCAUUUGAUACUGGCAGGCUAGAGUAUGGUAGAGGGAAGUGGAAUUCCGGGUGUAGCGGUGAAAUGCGUAGAUAUCCGGAGGAACAUCAGUGGCGAAGGCGACUUCCUGGACCAAUACUGACGCUGAGGUGCGAAAGCGUGGGUAGCAAACAGGAUUAGAUACCCUGGUAGUCCACGCCGUAAACGAUGUCAACUAGCCGUUGGGCUCAUUAUAAGGGCUUAGUGGCGCAGCUAACGCGAUAAGUUGACCGCCUGGGGAGUACGGCCGCAAGGUUAAAACUCAAAGGAAUUGAC
rnacentral:rRNA from 1 species